AUUGAACGCUGGCGGCAGGCCUAACACAUGCAAGUCGAACGAGUGGCGGACGGGUGAGUAAUGUAUGGGAACCUGCAUGAUGUAGGGGUCUAAUUACUGUAAACGGUAGCUAAUACCGCUUACUACCGGAUCUGCCUAGAUGGGAUUAGCUAGCUGGUGGGGUAAAGGCUCACAAAGGCGACGAUCCUUAGCUGGUCUGAGAGGAUGACCAGCCACACUGUAACUGAGACACGGUCCAGAAUCCUACGGGAGGCAGCAGUGGGGAAUAUUGCACAAUGGGCGAAAGCCUGAUGCAGCAAUGCCGCGUGUAUGAAGAAGGCCUUCGGGUUGUAAAGUACUUUCAGCGGGGAGGCGUUACCCGAAGAAGAAGCACCGGCUAACUCCGUGCCAGCAGCCGCGGUAAUAC
rnacentral:rRNA from 1 species